UUCUGCAAACGCCUCUGAGGAAAAAUCUGGAAAUAUGAAUAGCAUUUGGAGAGAGGAAGAUGGGAUACGACUCUUAAGGAUGGUACUUGAAUCAUGCUCUCUUGCAGCUACAAAAUACUGUUACCACAGACUCAGAAGAGAUGCAGAGGAGAUCAGCCCAGGUCAAGAACUGAAACAUGAUGCUGGGGUUUUGAAACAGUUAUGCUGGAGGACCAAACACCCUCACAUCUGGAUUUGCAGCUGUCUUUGGCCAAGUUAGAUGAUGAGAGCAGCAGGACAUUCCCUGAAGAUACUGUGGCCUUUAGAGCGCUCUCACUGGAGCAGAUUUGUUUGAACUUGAGGACGAGGGAAGGACCUUAAUCCCCAACCCACUUCUGCUGCUGAAGAGGCAAGAAAAGAAGUUGAGUUGAGCCCAGCAAAAAUGGGGAAAAUGUACUGUUUUAUAUUUUCGUCUCUGUUUCUCACUACCCAAAUAGCAAUAUGUUUAAAUUCAUCUUGGCCAGGUUUUUCUGUCCUAGAUGGUAUCCAGUAAGUGAUCUUCCUGUCCUUUAUCUUGACCCAUGAACUCUUUCAUCCUAUUUUCUCCCCUUGUCCUCCUGAGGAGAGGGAAAGUGGGGUGAGC